rnacentral:rRNA from 1 species
GACGAACGCUGGCGGCGUGCUUAACACAUGCAAGUCGAACGGAAAGGCCCUGCUUUUGUGGGGUGCUCGAGUGGCGAACGGGUGAGUAACACGUGAGUAACCUGCCCUUGACUUUGGGAUAACUUCAGGAAACUGGGGCUAAUACCGGAUAGGAGCUCCUGCUGCAUGGGGGGGGUUGGAAAGUUUCGGCGGUUGGGGAUGGACUCGCGGCUUAUCAGCUUGUUGGUGGGGUAGUGGCUUACCAAGGCUUUGGCGGGUAGCCGGCCUGAGAGGGGGGCCGGCGACCUUGGGACUGAGAUACGGCCCAGACUCCAACGGGAGGCAGCAGUGGGGAAUAUUGCACAGUGGGCGGAAGCCUGAUGCAGCAACGCCGCGUUCGGGAUGACGUCCUUCGGGUUGUGAACCGCUUUCGCCUGUGACGAAGCGUGAGUGACGGUAAUGGAUAAAGAAGCACCGGCUAACUACGUG